GUUUGAGUGGCACUUUGAAUGCAACAAAACUGAAAUAAGGAUCUUCAGUUGUUCUUUUUGGACUUGGUUCCAUUGGCAUUGCUGUUAUUUCUGAGAUGACCAAUGAUGAAGUUGACAAGAGGAUAGCAAAUCCCAAAGUUGUGUACAUGCAAUCCUCUAAAUCAGGUUCAAUUGUGCCUCAAAUAUGCAAUCUUCUAAGAGUUAAUAUCACUGAUAGAUUGUGUUGUAUAUUAUUAUAUAAUAAUGCAUGUUUUAUUUAAGAGUUAUCUAUAAAAUUCAGUUUGGAAAUGAGAAUUUGGAGUUGUUUUCUAUGUCGGUUAUGGGAUUGACAAUUUUUGGCUUAG